rnacentral:rRNA from 1 species
GACGAACGCUGGCGGCGUGCUUAACACAUGCAAGUCGAACGGAAAGGCCCUGCUUUUGUGGGGUGCUCGAGUGGCGAACGGGUGAGUAACACGUGAGUAACCUGCCCUUGACUUUGGGAUAACUUCAGGAAACUGGGGCUAAUACCGGAUAGGAGCUCCUGCUGCAUGGUGGGGGAUGGAAAGUUUCGGCGGUUGGGGAUGGACUCGCGGCUUAUCAGCUUGUUGGUGGGGUAGUGGCUUACCAAGGCUUUGACGGGUAGCCGGCCUGAGAGGGUGACCGGCCACAUUGGGACUGAGAUACGGCCCAGACUCCUACGGGAGGCAGCAGUGGGGAAUAUUGCACAAUGGGCGGAAGCCUGAUGCAGCAACGCCGCGUGCGGGAUGACGGCCUUCGGGUUGUAAAACGCUUUCGCCUGUGACGAAGCGUGAGUGACGGUAAUGGGUAAAGAAGCACCGGCUAACUACGUG